rnacentral:rRNA from 1 species
CUGUGACGUUAGCAACAGAAGAAGCACCGGCUAACUCCGUGCCAGCAGCCGCGGUAAUACGGAGGGUGCGAGCGUUAUCCGGAUUUAUUGGGUUUAAAGGGUCCGUAGGCGGGCGAUUAAGUCAGUGGUGAAAUCCCAUAGCUCAACUAUGGAACUGCCAUUGAUACUGGUUGUCUUGAGUUUGUUUGAAGUGGAUGGAAUGAGUCAUGUAGCGGUGAAAUGCAUAGAUAUGCCUCAGAACACCUAUUGCGAAGGCAGUUCACUAAGACACAACUGACGCUGAUGGACGAAAGCGUGGGGAGCAAACAGGAUUAG